rnacentral:lncRNA from 1 species
GACCUAUCCAGACAUCAAAAAUCAUUGCUAGCUGGUAACUUCGAUUGGUAAAGAAAACGGUUCCUGUGCUAUCGGUUUAGUGUUCGAACCUAUGGAGUCAUGCACAAAGUCAAGUGAUAUAGGAAAGAAUUGACCUAAGUCUAUAUGUUCAAUUUGAAAAUAUGUGACUUGAUUGAACAAAUAGAUUAAUUUGAUUGAGAUUUAAGUUAUGGAUCAUUCGGAAUUAAAUAGUUGACUAUGUCUAGCUAGCACUAGACACGAUGUUUAGGUUCAAUUCCGGAGAUGAACGAGAUUUGAUCUUUGAUCCAAGGAGUCUAUGAG